AUUGAACGCUGGCGGCAGGCCUAACACAUGCAAGUCGAGCGGAUGAAGGGAGCUUGCUCCUGGAUUCAGCGGCGGACGGGUGAGUAAUGCCUAGGAAUCUGCAUGGUAGUGGGGGAUAACGUCCGGAAACGGGUGCUACUACCGCAUACGUCCUGAGGGAGAAAGUGGGGGACCUUCGGACCUCACGCUAUCAGAUGAGCCUAGGUCGGAUUAGCUAGUUGGUGGGGUAAAGGCCUACCAAGGCGACGAUCCGUAACUGGUCUGAGAGGAUGAUCAGUCACACUGGAACGGGGACACGGUCCAGACUCCUACGGGAGGCAGCGGUGGGGAAUAUUGGACAAUGGGCGAAAGCCUGAUCCAGCCAUGCCGCGUGUGUGAAGAAGGUCUUCGGAUUGUAAAGCACUUUAAGUUGGGAGGAAGGGCAGUAAGUUAAUACCUUGCUGUUUUGACGGUACCAACAGAAUAAGCACCGGCUAACUUCGUG
rnacentral:rRNA from 1 species